GUCGGACCCCCACAAAUGACGUAGUCGAAGGACCCGCCGCCUUUAAAAAGCGACACCGGUUUUUCCAACAUGUGAGGAUGAAACCCAUACCGUGGUCACAAAACAAGGGAAACAAAAUGAACGAAUUACAGGGAAGUCAACCAGGUAAACUAUAGUUAUUGAUUUGUUGCCAUUGGUUUGUCUUGGAACUGAUUUGCUUGCAAGGUGUGUCUACCGCGUUUGUGAUGCUAACCUGACUGAACAGGGGUCUGUCUGCCUGUGUUUUGCUUGUUUACCAGGCACUCCCAGGGUUAAAUUCAGUCACCCUAGCCCUGACAGAAUUCAGAUGUAACACAACCAGUCUAGGCUGUAUAAACCUCAGUGGCCUCUGGUUUAUACCGUGAAUCUACGUUAGCAGUUUUACUGAGGUUUUUAUGGACAGAGUUAACAUUUUCAGCAGUAACCUGGGCAUUUGUCCAUGGUCUUGGCAAUACCAUGACAUUGUUUCUUGUGUUUUAGAGUAAAACUUGGGCUAACGGUGGAAAGCAUUAAGUUGCCACUAACUUGUUUAUAAUACUCAAUCAAGAAAGAUGACUACAUGGCCACAGUGGGCAUUAGUAUGCAUGUCUCUUGGUGUAAGGUGACCAAGUAGCCAUAUUGGUUUAGACAGGUGAGGCCUACUGUGCCACAGGCAAAAGACUAAAGCUCAGAGACAUGUCAAACUUUUACACAUCAUGGUUGCUAAACUGUGUGUAGACUAUGUAAUUUACAGAUGCAUUGCAAUAAAUUGGAACAUAAUAAAAAAGAGGAUUUAUUUCAGUAAUUCAAUUUAAAAAAGUGAAACUCCAACUGUAUAUUUUAUCAAACACACAGAGUGAUAUAUUUCAAGGGUUCAUUUCAAAUAUUGUAACUUACAGAUGAUGAAAACCUAAAAUUCAGUGUCUCAGGAAAUUAGAAUAUUAAGAAAGACCAAUAAUAAUAAAAAAAAAAAGUCAACAGAAACAUUGGGUCAGGUGGGUUUGCUAACCAAUCCACCAUGGUUCUUAAACCAGGUAUUGGUACUUUUGGCAGUAUGGGCAGCCAAGUCCUGCUGGAAAAUGAAAUCAGCAGAAGGAAGCAUGAAGUGCUCUUAAACUGCCUGAACGAUGGCUGCGCUGACCCUGGACCUGAUCGGUGGAUGAACACCAGCAGAUGACAUGGCUCCCCAAACCACCACUGGACACCUUUGCAUGGGUUUUGAGUUAAUUAUAUCUGAUCAAAGUGAUACCAUGAGUUUCAAAUGAACUUUUUCAUGAACUUCUGCAAAAUAUUCAAAUUUUCUGAGAUGCUGAAUUUUGGGUUUUCAUCAGCUGUUAGUUACAAUUAUCAAAACACUUGAAAUAUAUCAGCCUGUGAGUGAUGAAUCUAUGUAUGUGAGUUUCACUUUUUGAACUGAAUUACUGACAUAAAUCCACAUUUUGAUGAUUCCAGUUUACUGAGAUGCACCUUUAAUUACCAUCUUGACCUCAACCUACAUUGACAGUUCUGUUUCAGGUGUACUUCUUAUUUUGUAGCUCUACUUGUCAGGUGUCUUGCAUGUCCAUGUCAUUCAUGUUCUUAUGUUUUAUUGUUUUGUUGCUAUUCUGUUGGUAUCUGUAAUAUUGAGCUUCAAAAUUUGAAGAAGUACUAAAUUAUGAUCCUCUAAUUCAUAUUAUUUGCCAUGUUACUGAUAAAGAGGGGAGACAAGUUUGGUGUAAUUUCUUCCCUGCACUUACCUUAAAUUACCACAAGGUGUCACCCUUGCUUAAUAUACGUGAUUUAAUUUAGAUUUUGAACAAUCUAAAUUAUUGGUGUAGAGUAGACUGAUGAGCUGAUUUGGAUAUUCAUAUUUAAAUUUCGUCUGCAUAUUUAUCUCCUUUGUCAUUGAGAGAAACAUGUCUCACAUUGUAACAGUUUUGGUUAUGACUGAUGGCCGAGGAGUCCUUAAUUAAAAGAUUUCACAUGUAAUGAACACAGGUAAAAUAUGUGAUGAGAGCCAUACAAAUCUCACCUACACUGUGUUUUUGCCUAUACUGCUAUAGCUCUCCUGUAAAAGCCAAAUACUCUUAGUAGGGAUCUGUGAGGUUGUAGAUUUCAGGCUUCAGAAUGAAUUAAAGCAUGUGGAGAUACAUGGAACAGACACUCCUCAUGAAUUACUAAAGUGGCUGACAUGUUAGUGACAUUAGAGAGGGUUGGCAACAUUUAUUGUCUUGGCAGUUGUGUGGUGGUGAUGAUGAAACUGUUGAAUUCAGUGAGGAAGUAGGUCACAGUGCUAUAAAAGAUGUAGCUUUGUCGCAUCAAUGUGCUUAAUAUUAUAUUGCUUUACAGUCUUCAUACACACAUGCAUGGCCCUUGGAGGUUAAAUUCACAUGCACUGCUAUUGACAUAAUAUUCUGGCACACAAGCUUGUGCACACACUAUCUGUAUCCGCACACUAUCCACACUAGUGUCACCUUCUUUCACUUUACCAUCUCAGUUUUCCAGCAGUGGGUUUGACUUUGAACAACAUUCACAGAGAAAAUCAAAGAGAAUUCUUUCUCAGACAAACUCUAGUCCACGGUGUACUGAGUAAAGGAUAUUGCAGUUCAAUGUGAUAUUGAAUUCUCUGAGUUUGUGUAAGAGUGUGUAGUCCUUUGCCAGAAACUGUUUUUUUGUGCAGACAGCCAAAAAGAUAAAAAGUGUUCUAGAGAUCCCAUUUGAAACAGAAAAUAACUGUGAUAAAGUUUGCUCUGGAGGAGGCAUUUUUCAAAAAACCUUCCUGUAAAUGCAAAUGCAGAAUUAUAGAUUAAGUGUGGUGUUAUUAUGAAAAAGGACUCUCCAGCUGGAAUCAUUCUCUCUUAAGAUGAAGCUUGUUUCAGGGGUAGAGGAAGAAAACUCAAAGUUAGAUAAGAUUCUAAAAAUAUCUGGUCAUUUCUGUGCAUGGUCCAAGAUAUAUCUGGCAGCAUCCUUAAAACGGUGGAGAUCAAAACCCAAGAUUGCUAACCGGGAGAAAAUGGGCCGAAAAUGUCAGCACUGUUUGAAAAUAAAGUCAGUAAAAAAUAGGCUAUUUAGACAGUCUGUGUAAUGAUAGAUGCACACUGACGCAUCCAGAGGGAAAAACCAUGAGUUCUUUAAACCAAUACUGAAAAAUGAUGUUGGGAGUAUUUGCACACUUUAAUUUUUGCAUUUAAAAAUAAAUACUGAAAUGACACUAAUAGCUCUUCUGUAUUCAGGCUAGAAACACAAUAACCACUGCCGCAGUGUUUUUUUUUUCUAUCUCAUAUAUUUACUUACUUAUGAUGCUUCUGACCUUUGAUUGCUUUGAUUUUUUAACAGUAUUCAUCUUUACUUGUGUGUGCAGUAUUAAGUACCAAUUUUUCCCCACAAUAGUACAGGUUCUAUGUUUAUCCUCUCAAAAGUCAAAGUCAACUUUAUUGCCAAAUAUGCUAUACAUGUUCAACAUACAGCACAGGUGAAAUUUCAGUCCUCUCAGAGCCACGGUACAUAACAAUAAACUAUAGGAAUAAAACUAUAAAAGUAUAAAUAUAGAAUAAACAACUAAGCUAAACAAAAGACUACCUUAAAUACUCACAUCAAUUUACAAAAUAAAGAUAACAAUAUAAACGGCAUAACAGUAUAAACAGUGUGCAGUAUAAAUAUAAGGAGGAAGUUGAGUGGAAGAAAGUGAAUGUAAACAGUAUGGCAGUAUGACAGUCCUGAUGUGGACACAAUAGUGCAAAUAUGACAGUGUAAACAGUAUGGCAGUCCUGAUGUGGACAUAACAGAGCAAAUAUGGCGAUAUGGACGCAAUAGUACAAAUAAAUGUAAUACAGUAGUAAUGAUGGUGCAGUGAUAAGGGAUAAAGUGAAAGUGUGCAGUCCUGAGGUUGGUGUGUUUGUGGGCAUGAAAUGAAAGCAAACUUGUCUUAUUACUUUUUUCGAAGGGGUGUUUAGCAUGGGGUCAUCAUCAUCUGAAAUAAUAGAAAUAAUAUAAAUGAGAAAAACAGAACAGACUGUUUGCCUUAUUUUUACACCGACACAAGGUGGCAGUAUUGAAGCAUAAAAUUACAGUCAUACAUGGCUGUUUUAUCUGUCAAAGCACAGAAAUUUAACCUCACUGCCAGGCUAACACAUACAGAGUUCUACUAGUACUUUUUAAAGAAGGCAUUGCAUUGCAAACGCAGACUACAUUUUUAUAAAAUAUACCCCAAACCACUGAUCUGCUAAGUUUUAACAAUCAUGUAAAAUUUAUUUUCACAUUACACCAACAUGCAGUAGAUCUUGGUUAUCAAGUUAUGGGUCUCGCUCCAGAUAACAUGAACUGAGCGCCAGCUGCUUUGGAGGCUUGAAUCAGUCCUUCCUAAUGCAUAAUCCAUGAGUUUUUAUUUCUCCCUUGAAAUGUGAGUUGUCUCUUUGAAGUGUUUUGCGGUAUUAUUAUACUGCGGUUUGACAAGUAAUAAUGUUGAUGUCUUGUAUGAGCUGUAAUUACUGGAUCUGGAGGUAGGAGGGCAAAGCCAAAAUGGGCUUGAAGUUUCAGUGUGGCCACGCUUUGAUGUUUCAUGGAUGGGUGGGGGAGUGAGGGGAGCUUUUCCACAGGAGAAAAUACCCACAAGUAGCCCAACUUCUUUUACGUAGGGAAACACGCGUAACCAACCAUAAUGAAGCAUAAUGGCAAAUAAAACGUGCGUUCUUUAGAAGAGACAAGCCGUUUAGCAUUUGGCUUCAGUAAUCACUAAAUGAUAAAUACUCUCAUCUCAAGGUAAUUAUGUGUAUCCUUUUAACACUCAUCAAAUGAUAAGCUUUCAUUGUGGUGUUCAAACAGUAUUGGGAGGGAUAAUGGGCUUUGUUUGCACUCAGCAAACCAAACCAGCUGUACUGCACUGCAUGAUAAUACUAUUUUUGUUGGUGCAAUCACUGGCACACUCUCUGUGUUUGUAAUCCAGCGGCUCUUCCUCUUCUGUACUAUGACUUCAACGCUGUCAUCUGUGCGUAAUUCGGUGACCGGAGUCACCGUCCUUGGCUGUGAAUAUUGUUGAGUCAACUUGAAGGUGUGUUUAUACACGUGUGUGUUUUUGGCUGUCAGCAUGUGUGAAGGCCUGUGUACAUCCAUCUGUGUGAGCAUGUACGUGGAUGUGUGUGUCACAACGUGGAGUGUUUAUGCGUGCGUCUGCUGUGUGUGUUUUUGCAGCUCCCGAGCACGGCCUCAUCCUGCAGAGGUGACUGUGAAACGAUGGGAACAGACAUCACUGUUGGAGGAAGAGGGGUUAGCAAGCAGCCGGCAGGAUAUCCCAUCACAUUAGGAGUGCUGCUGCGCCCACUUCCUUCAACUUUCCCAGUGGAGAGGUCAGUAGAGGUGAAGAGGACUCCUCCCUCUGUCAUUAUCCUUCCAUCACCUGCCUCUCUCCCUGCUGACAACAGAGCUUUCUCCCCUUUCUACUCACCCUUUACCCCCUGCACCAGCUUUGGCUCUUUCUGAUCUCUCACCCCUUUUUCUUUUAUGAUUUCCACAUCUUUUUACCCUCCAUCUGUUCCCCAGUUCCCGUCCCUUUCUAAGCCCUGCAUUUGCCUCUUUUUGCUCUUUUGAUAGCUUGGCUUCACUCUCAAUUUUCCUCUGUCAUUUCCCCUCACAGAUUCACAGAACUCUGGGGUCCUUCUUUCUGAGGCCUUUUGUUGAGUCUGCAGCUGAUCUCUAGAUUGCAACAGAGAUACUAUACACCCACUACAGCUCUCACACAGACAGGCUGGAGAUUGAACCAAAUUCUUUCAAAGGAGGAUCUCUGGUGAGUUUUAGCAAGAAAAGAGAGGAAUAGCUGUGUAUUGAGAGCUUGAGACAGCAGCCAAAUGUGUGUCAAAAAUACAGCAAAAAUCUGGGGCGUGUGGUAAUGCAAUAUAGAUGUUAUGUCAUCAUGAAUACUUCAUGAUACACAAUAGUGUGCGAUGAUAGAAUAAUGUAUGGCUAUUGAAUAAACUGAAGCGCAGAGGUGAGGUGAUGUCUUUAAAUUUACACAUGCUAGAUCAUGUGCUAUGAAGAACAAAAAAAACGUCAAACACUGAAUUUUGAUUUUUGACAAGUCUUUAACUCAAAACCACCCCAAUUAAAAUUGUAAUUAACUCAUUUGCAUUCCGCUUAUGAGAUUUCAAAUCCACAAAGUUGUCUCUUUUUUUUACAGAUCUUUUAGUUGUUAGCACAUUUUUCAAACUGUAUUUCCCCGGAUGUGUUUUGACUGUGUUAGCGCCCGGGUGUCUUCAUCAUCAGCUGCUUUGGCAUCAUUCUUUGUCUGACUGGCUCCUCCUGUCUGAGGAAAUGUGAAGUGAACUUGCUUAAUGAGGAGAUGAGAAUAUUUUUACAUGAUUUAAAAAGAGAUCACAGAGCUGACGUCCAGAACAUAUUUCUCUCAAACAACACUUGUCUGAUUACAAAUCAACUAUAAUGAGAGGGGCUGUGGAUGAAAAUACAACCAUCUUUUAUAUUCCUUGUCAAAGGAAACAUGAAACACAUACUGUGGGUAUAAAAAGAUGUCAUAUACUCUUUUACCUCAAUUCAACCACAUCCUUUUGAACACCUAACUGUCCAUAUUUUUACCAUCGAGUUAUUUGUUCAUGUAAAACUUGAACAUGAAAGUCAUUAUUUAGUAACUGUGACACAUUUUUGAGCAACUGCUAUUCGAUGUACCUGUAAUGGCUCCGGUCAGGCCAUUAUCCUCCAUGAUAUCUGGUUAUUAUCCCUGUCUGAUUUAUACCACUUCUGUCGACCCUCACCCACGGUGACCUACAUUCGCUUUCAUCUCGGCCAUCAAUCAUUUAGCAGUUCAAAGUAAAGGUCUGUCUGUGAAGGGACGCUCAGAGCUUGAUCAAAAUGGCAUUAAUUCUCAUAUGACACUGUGAAAGGGUGGCCAGUAGUAUAUCCAAAUGUGCUGUAACUGUACGGCGUUGGAUAAUAAUGAAUUCCAAAUUAUGAUAAACAGGGUUGAGGUUGUUUUGACCAUCAUCAGCCAAGUUAUCCAGCUGUUACAAAAGCUUGGAGUACAUGCAAAUGUGGUUUUCAAGGUUAAAGACCAAUUUGAAAACAUUCUUCUCCCCCCUGUAUUAUGGAGCUCUAUCCAUUAUACCGUAGCUUAGAGAAAACAACACCUGUGAGGAGAUAAUUCAACAAUAACCACCCUUAUAAUCGGUGCUGUUAAGACAGAUCUUGCAGCUGACUGUGGUUCGUUUGCCUUACAAGAACAUACUGUUUACAUACAGCAAAGGCCAGUGAGAAGAGACUGAGCCAAUUGGACAUGCAGACAGAAUUGGAGUAAGACGGAAAGAGAGAAAUGACUUGGACUGAAAAAUAGAUGAGUACUAUGGGUGUGUAAGCAGAGACAGUAUGACUUAUUCAGUAGGGACUGUGUGUGUACAUGUCAUUAAAUCAGCUGCUGUGUCCACAUCCAGCUUCCCAGGUGAGGUCGCUGCCGAGAGUGGAGACAAGGGGGUCAAAUCUAGAUCUGGAUUUGUACCUCAAUCAACAGACUAGGAUGAAGAUGAGAAUACAAUAUGCAAUAUCAGGGGAACAUCUGCUUCCACUCUGUGUGCCAAUGUAGUUGAACAAAGGUAUACUGUUCUCCGUGGCAUCAUUUCCUCAAAAUCAAUGUCACCCAACACCUGAUAUGUGUCAGUAAGUGCGACAAGGUAAGCAAAGGCACACAAAUAACUCGCUUGCUAUUCUUGCUGGUCUGGUUUGGGGUUUUUACUCAGCUGUGAUUAAUGGUACGAAAAAAAAGGACUUGUACUUUGGAGCACUGCAGAGACAUUUGAGCAGGCCUGUUAAAAUAGCUUUUUACCAUAUAAAUGACUAUCACACAAAGCAAUAGCACACAUCACAAUAGCAUGCAAUUUCUGAAUUACAUAUUUAGUAUGAAUCCAGGCAUUUCAGACAAGGGGAUGUGUAAAACUCUGUUUAUCCAGGAAGCGACAAAUAUCAUCAGCAUCGUAAGUGUGCUGUGAUUUCAAAAGGGCUCAAAUUUUGAAAAAAAAAAGGAGGCAAUUUACUCCCUGCAUCUUUGUUAUGUUGUUGCAUCAGCUCCUCCACAGAGCAACAAAAGAGGAAGGAGAGACACACGGGUCCAGACUCAUGUAAAAUGAAAUAGGAAUAUUUUAGACUAGCAGAAUGGCUGCCAUGCAUAAAUGACAAAACCAGUGUCACACAGGUGCUUCAACUCGGAUGACUGUCUUGUCAGAACUUCUGCCAUCAGAGACCCCAUCAGGUUUGGUAAAGCCAUGCAUAUUGUAUACAGGAUAGAUAAGUAGAUUUAUUACAAUAGAUUGUAUUGUAACUAAGAUAAACAAAUGAGGACAAUAAUGUUCAUAUAAAAAUAAUAACCCAAUCAAAAUGGAAAAAAAUGGGAGUAAGCUUGAAAAGAGUUUGGUUUCCUUGUGAAAUCAGGAUCCCGAAUCCAGCAAAACUCUUUAUCAGACAUUUAGAACAAGUUGGACAAUGAUAUGUGACUAACAAGGUCCUUAAUGGUUUUGCCCACAUAUCUGUAAUUAAAUAUUACAAAGUCAAGAUCAAGUAGGCGCAGCGUCUCACACUUGUGUGCCACUCAUCACUUUAAACUUUUCAGAAAAUAUCUUUAAAUAUUAUUGUCACGAAUAGUUUAAGAAAAAAAAAAUUACAAUUUGAUGACGUGAUGACCCAAUUUCUAUACCUGAAUCCUCCAUGGUUUUCACAUUACAUCCUCACUUACUACUGACGUCAACAACCUCUCUGUGUGACUCUUUUAGACCUCAUCAGCAGCGUGACGUCCAUUCGUGAGGUAGAUGAGGGAAGGGGGGAGGACACACAAUCACAUGCACUAAGUCUCCACCCACACAUACUCCGACACACACACAAACACACCAUGUCCCAUCUGAGAUUGUGAAGACUGUGCUCUCUAACUGUCACUCCUAGUUACAGACCUAUCAUGCAGAAAUGCUGACUUAUUCAUGGCUUUCAUGCAAACCUGGAUGCACAGAGGAAACUGAAGCUGGCUGGGGCGAGGCCAAGCUAGCUGCUGUGUGUAUGUGAGGGUACUCAUAGUGUGCUUACUGUACUUUACUCAGCCAUGCUUUACAUCAUUUUGCCAUUACAGGUCAGACACACUCACGCAGACACACAGGUACUCAGUAUAUUGUGCUGACAAAGAUGCCUCUUGCUUACAGUCAAGGCCACUUGCUAAUAUGGCUUUCAGUAUUUUUGGCAACUGUUGACUCCAUAUUAAUGACAGGGUAGGAAUACAGUAUUUGCAUUGAGCGAGGGAGAAUACAUUUUUAAGUUUAUAUCAUCAUAUUUUCAUAUAUAUUCAGGGAGAGGAGCUGGGAACACAGCUUUAAGACACACCAUUCAAGUCUGGAGAGUGAAAAAAAACAGGGAGCAUGGGCUUAUGAAAAAAGAAACCCACUUCUCAUUUGAUUUAUUACCAGAGCAAAGCUUUUCACAAUGAGCUUAUGGUCUCCAGUAGAAGUCUCAAGCAUUCUUCGGUUCAGUAUGACGACCAUUCUGUAAAUUAAACUGUCAUCUGGCAUCAAAUAAAGGCGAGAGAAGGGUUUGCAUAUGAAUGUAGCUACCUGAGAUCAGCAAGAUGAAGCUGUGAAAACCAGUGAGUGCCUUAAUUAGCAUUUGGUUCAGCCAGACUCGCCUAUGUGGCAACUUUUUGUCUUGAGAAUUGAAGCUGAAUUGCUAAAUUAUGCACUUCUUUAUGUGCCCACUAGGGGGUGGUUCCUUUAAAAUAAAGACACACCUUGCUGACAAGCUAGCACUAGAGUUAAUGAAGUGUUUGCUAAUGCCCCCCUCCUCUUCAAGACCACUCUUUGCCCAAAUUGAGCAGAUGACCUAAUUUAAGAAAAAAAAAAGGCACAAAACAGAGGAUGGUGAUUGCCAAAAGGCAAAAUAAAGGCUGUCCUCUAACCAAAAAGUGGCUUCAUGUCAGUUAUGCCUCCGUUAUUGAUAUCAAACCUAGAGUCAUUGACCUAAUUCCUACGUUAUCCACCUGAUAAUUUUAGCUGGAUUCACGUUAACUCUGGUAGACUAAUUGCUGAAUAUCAACACUAUAGCACAAUGAAAUCAAUGCCAGCAGGUGAAUUAUAAUAAACACUGAUUGUUAACAGAACUAAACCUGAUAAAUGAAAAUGAAUACAUGCACACACACAGGUUGAAAACUUUAUCCUUGUUAGUGUUGAUAUUUAAAGGUGAAAAUAGGGAUAAGUAGCUGAUAUGUAGCGUUAGCGGGAGUCAGUCAUCUCUGAAUACAAAUCAGGCACUCUAAACUGUUUGACACUGGCAGAGCUGCAAAAACGGAAGUGGGGAAGCACAAAAAGAUUUAUUUCACUUGGAGACCAAUUAAAUCGGUGUGAAAGUGUUGCUUGACUUGUUGGAUGGUGCUAAGAUAUGUGACUGCUCUUCCUCUGACACUCAAUGGCUCUUGUUUCCUCCAAAACUUGCUAUUGUUUGUGAGUUAUCAUGGGAAUAUGAACUAUGUUUGGGUGUAAAAAGAGAAAGAUGAGGAUAUUAACACAGAAUUUAUAACCAGGGCAUAUGAUUGUCACUUUCUGCAAUUUUUCCAAGAGCUGUUCACACUUGCAGAUGUUAUGUGGGUACAGUUGUGUGCUGCUUUUAUCGAUGUGCACAUGCUCAGAUAUACAUGCUCAUACGUACAUUGAGUGACAUUUUUCAGAUCACUGUCAGGCACAUAAUGAUCAACGGAAUCCCAGUUUUUCGCCUGUCUGUGAAAAAUGACACUUUAUCUAACAAGAUCUGCUGAAUAUUGCUCUUGAUUUGACAUAUGUGACAGUUUCCUGACAUGGGAAGAUGACAUAGUAGAAGUACUGGAAAUGUCAAAACACAUGCAGAAAAAAUGUGCACAAUAUAGCAUAACAUUUUUAUAGCUGCAUGCACUUUUUUGUAUCUUUAUUUAAGAACAAGACUUGAGACACAGAUGUGAACAUGCAGGCACAUGUAGACUGUGUCAACAAACUAUUUUAAAUGUGUCAGGUUAUUUGAUUUCCAAUUGUUUCAGCUUCUUUAACACACUGCUUUACAACACACUAAGUAGCACAAAUUCUUGCCCUUCAACCACAAAUCGAUACAGAGCAGAAGUUUGUGAUUUUAUAUUAGCUCAUUUUUUAGACCAUUUAAUGAAGUGGUAACAGACUCUAGGGGAUUUGAGCUGAAAAAUGUGCAGUGGCAACACGUCAGCUACCUCCUCUUUUAUGCUUAACUACCUUAGAUACAGUGAGGACACCUGUGUGGACUUUUGUGCAAUCCAGCUUUGAAAACUUGGUGGUAUACCGUUUACUUUCUAUCUUUUUAAUGGCUUUUUGGUCUUGUUUCACUUUUAUUGCUGGGGCACCGAAAUGUUUUGUUUUUCUUGUUCUGUUAGAGUCCGAUUAUCCUUUUUUUUUAUUUAGGAUAUUUUACCUAAAACAUGUAUUUCUUUCUGCAAACACUAUUUUGAAGGCAUUAUUUUGCAGCCCUGUCUCUGAUAUAUUAGAUCCCAGCAGAUGGAUUCUGUCAACUGUCCAGCUCUCCAGUCUUAUCACUGACUCCUCUGUUGAUAAAUGAGGUGGAUGCCAUCACACUGAAGAGUCACUCCAUCCUUUUUUUUACUGAUUACUCUGCUGUAUCAUUUUUAAUAAGCUUCCUCUCACCUCCACCUGUGCCUGCAGUAGAAUAAACACCAUGCAUGAUAAACUAUGCUUUAAGUCCCUUGUGUAGUCUUGCGUCUCUUUCAGUACUCAUCAUACAGUGUGCUGAACCUGGACAAAUACCAGUACUUUCACACAUGAAGCUGAUCACCAGUGUCAGACCAGAUCCUUGUAAUCUGUGCUUUCCUGUGUGUUUUCAACACAAUCCCCUUGGGAAUCUCAAUUAUGAGACAAUAGAGACAGCAGAAUGGAGUACAUACAAUGAAAACAGAUAUAGUUGUCUUUUCCCAGAGGUCGCAUGUGGAAAGGUUAGCGAUCAGCAGUAUGUUAGCCACAAAUUUAAGAUGUGACUCCGUGUUUACUCUUUUCAUUUUACACCCUUUGGGGAAAAUAAACAAGCUGCAGUACCCAUUAAAGAACUGAAAGGAGAGGUAGCAGACAGACUCAUUGAUUGGCUUGCACCAAUACAGUGGCAGUUACGACUGUAAAUGGGCUCUGGUUCUCUCUCUGCUGUCUGUAUGAUCCACAGGUGAGCAGCAGCCAUUAGGACUCUGGCAAGCAGCAGCAAUGGCAGUUUUAACAGAUGAUGCUCCUUUAGUGGUCCAGCAGCAAACAAACAAC